rnacentral:rRNA from 1 species
UACAGAGGUCUCAAGCGUUGUUCGGAUUCAUUGGGCGUAAAGGGCGCGUAGGCGGCCUCUGCAAGUCGACUGUGAAAUCUCCGGGCUUAACCCGGAAAGGUCAGCCGAUACUGCAGGGCUAGAGUGCAGAAGGGGCAACUGGAAUUCUCGGUGUAGCGGUGAAAUGCGUAGAUAUCGAGAGGAACACCUGCGGCGAAGGCGGGUUGCUGGGCUGACACUGACGCUGAAGUGCGAAAGCUAGGGGAGCGAACGGG